AAUGAACGCUGGCGGCGCGCCUAAUACAUGCAAGUCGAGCGAGAAGACGUAGCAAUACGUUUGUAAAGCGGCGAACGGGUGAGGAAUACAUGGGUAACCUACCCUAGAGUGGGGAAUAACUAGCCGAAAGGUUAGCUAAUACCGCGUACGCUCCUUGGACUUCGGUUCAGGGAGGAAAGCGAUGCCGAGGGUAUCGCGCUCUUGGAUGGGCGUCAUGUCCUAUCAGCUUGUUGGGAGGUAACGGCUCACCAAGGCUUCGACGGGUAGCUGGUCUGAGAGGACGAUCAGCCACACUGGCACUGCGACACGGGCCAGACUCCUACGGGAGGCAGCAGUAAGGAAUAUUGCGCAAUGGGCGAAAGCCUGACGCAGCGACGCCGCCGUGGGGGAGUAG
rnacentral:rRNA from 1 species